rnacentral:lncRNA from 1 species
UGUCCUCCAAGCCCCAUGUUUAUGGUCUGUGCACUUUCUGGUGGUCACCAUGUGUCCGCCCCUCACCUCUCCUUUGUCCCAGUCCAAAGAGUCUUCUUCCGUGUUGAGCUGCGACAUCUCCAGGAACAACAAGUACAUUGUGACAGGCUCAGGGGACAAGAAGGCCACUGUGUAUGAGGUGGUGUACUGAACCAUGUGCUGCCUUUUCAAGCCACCUGCCCUGGAUGGCAGGCCACUCGGGACAUGGGUCCCUUUGCCCACACUUGGCUUGCUCCCUCCCGGAUGGGUGGGACUGGGGGCACUGGGGAAAUAUAAGAUUAUUUAUC